CACGUAGGGGCAAGCGUUGUCCGGAUUUAUUGGGCGUAAAGAGCUCGUAGGUGGUUCGGUAAGUCAGGUGUGAAACCUCCAGGCUCAACCUGGAGACGCCACUUGAUACUGCUGUGACUGGAGUCCGGUAGGGGAGCGUGGAAUUCCUGGUGUAGCGGUGAAAUGCGCAGAUAUCAGGAGGAACACCAGCGGCGAAGGCGGCGCUCUGGGCCGGUACUGACACUGAGGAGCGAAAGCGUGGGUAGCAAACAGG
rnacentral:rRNA from 1 species